rnacentral:lncRNA from 1 species
AAUCAUGAUAGAAGUAAAACACAUGGAGCUCAAUAUCGACAUCAGAUUAUAAGGCAGGAUCAAGCCCAGUGCGUUCAUAGGACCACAAAAGCUAGCCACUCGACAUGAAGUUCGAUACCAGAAGCGAGAAUACAUAAGAGGUAAUAAGAACAGAAACAUAAUAAAGGAGAGUCAAUUAUGGAGGCAUAACCACUAAGCAUAUUAAUAAGUGGCGUAAUUCAUCUGCCUUAUCAAUGUACUUCAUAGGAACCACCUCACAUGAACAUGACACAAAAAAACUGUGAGAGGUUGCCGAUGGAGCAGCGACAGGGGAGCCAAUCAUUGAGAACCUCCAUAAUGUGUUGCGAUGCUUGCCAUCCUGUAUAGCCACCUCUUUCUUCAUAUUUCGGAGCCUCUUAGCAUAUAUAAAUGGUAUAGAUGCCCUGUCAAGGAAAAUAUAUCAAUACAGACUGUGUUUCUUAUUUGUAUUGUGGGGUCAACGGAGGAAAAAGGAUGAUGUACGACUAUAAAACACAACCCUACAACCUGAUGGUCAACCAACUAUACUACUCAACUAAAUCAGAGAGGGAUCUCCUCGGCAUAAAGAAUAAAUCUGACAUGUUAGAUAUCUGAAUAGUAGCUACAGGCUCAAGUUUGACACAAUCGAAGAAGAAAUGGGGAGGAAGAGCGAGUUAUACCUGCUUGAGCCAGCCCCUCCUCUUGGAGAGGACGAUGGUCCCGCCGGCCUGGUGGCACUACUUAUCCGCGCUGAGGAGCGACAUGAUCGCCGCACCGAGGCUGCUGCCCUCCUGCAUCAACACAAACCAAAUCUCUCUUUUAUAUCAGUAAUACCAAUAGAUAGCAUUUUCUGUCAUCCAAGGAUCGUGCAUUUUCUGUCGUCAUCUAGCAUCACCCUUGGAAAAAAGUGAAAGGGUAUCGAUCAAGACUCAUAAAGUCAACAAAUAGCGAGUGGCCCUCCCCACGCCCCGUCCUCCCCUCCGCCGCCGCAGGUUGUCAGCGCCGGGCAAAGCCCAUGCGUGCGACGCGGUGGCGGAGGGCCUCUCCCCUCUCCCCCGGAUCCAUGGGUGGCGCGGGCCCCCAGAUCCGCGGAGGUGCACCCCCCACUUCGGCCCACGACGGCGCGGCGUCCCAGCGGCGGCGGCUGUGGUGGUGCCGGUGGGAAUCGGCCGGAUGCACAGGGGGCGGCGGCCCCAUGGCUGGGUGGCAGCGUGCCCGUUGGUCAGACCGGUUCCGGCUCGUCCCGGAUCUGGUGACCACCGGACGGCACGGGGGGUGGCUGUAAUUAUCUAAAAGUUAAAUUGUACAAGAUGAGCAUAUAUACGCAACAUCGAAUUAAAUAAUGGAACUAAUUAUGAAUUACUAUAAUGAGAUGCAAUUCCCUGAGUAGGCAAUGCAUACGAAUGGAACAUAAUUGCUGCCAUUUAUUUUCGGCUUAGGCUUAUCCAGAAACACAGACUAAAAUCACUUGAUCUACACACGGGCAAUAGCUUCUUUUCUUUACUAUAACCAGUUAACACAUACUCCCUCCAUCCCAAAAUAAAUGUCUUUGAUUUAGUACCGAAUCAAAGAUACUUAUUUCGAUUUAGUACAACUUUGCACUAAAGUUGUAACUUUGCACUAAACUUGUACUAAAUCAAAGAUAAUUAUUUUGGGACUGAGCCAAUAAUAGGCCUGGCAUAUUAUUGUGUCAUCUUUUUGGGGAUACCAGCGUUUCUACCAUACUAUUACGACAAAAAAAACAUGCCAUAGAAAAUGUAGCCUCCAACAACAUGAGCCAUCACAAGGAUCAGGCACCUUUUCACACAUCAUUCUGGCCAUAUUAACCACAGCUAGUAUCAAUUUCAUGCACCUUGACCAGAUAUGUGCACUACAACCAAUGUAACUGAAAAUGAAGCACAAAGAGACACCUAAUUUUCCGAGGUGGCAUUACCUUGUUCUGCAAACUAUAAUGGUCAGUCUAGUUUGAGAAGUGUUCAAGAUUGUUCUGUAAACUCAUGCAAGCCUUCCUACUCCACUGAAGUAUUAGGAAGUUUUGAGGAUCACCGCGUAAAAAACUUCUCCAUGUUAAUAUGUUAUUCUCUAGGCUCCUAGUUAAAAAGCUGUCUCAAGUAUCUUAGCAUGAUCCAAAAUGUCUGAAUAAAAUAUUUCUCAAACUGGGAACAAGAAAACAAGGUUUGAUUACGACAAAACAUUCACCAACAUAGACACAAAGUGCUCCCACUGGGAUAUAUUGGUAUGGAACAACAAGUUUCAGCUUGAAAAAAAAACAUAACAUCAGCAAAACAGCUAUGUGGUGAUAUUCACUUUUAGGCAUGCCAUGCAAAAGGAUAACCUACAUCUUGAUAAUCGAUUGAAUAGAUAAACUACGUGGUACUAAAGUUACAAUAGAAAGGGUAAAAGGAAACGUAUAAAAUCCUAAUCAACUAAUUCACAUUGUGGCCAUGCUAUGAGUGGAGGUGCAUGUACGAUACUUCCAGGAGAAAUGAGCACACAGGAAAUAUAAUGAAAUUCAGGGACAUAUAUAAAUCAUCGUACAGAACCCUGACUUCCAGUCAAUCAACACAAAAUUCAUAUACACUAAAAUGUCACUAUACUUGCAAAGGGAGACAAAGCACCAUUAGAAUCACAUAAAGAGCUCACCUCAGAGACCAUCAGUACCUUGCACGACAACAUGCUGCAUCCUACACCAUGUUGUGGAAGGAGAAACCAGCGAGUAAGGCCCGUUUCGGAAGGUACUCAAUCCCCACUCCAGUCCAUUAUAUUUAUCCAGUGAGUGACCUCCUAUAUGGCUCACAAUUAUGGUCACGAUCUAUAAAAAUGUAAGCCAUCAGUAGAAGUAGUUGACAGUAAACUGUAAGCAUUAAUCAGAGAACUAUUCUCGGCCGGUCCAACUAAACGCAUGUUUUAUCAAUGUAAAAACAGAAACACAUUUUCCGUAUAUCAUCACGUAGACACACACCAUAAUCAUGAGGUAGUAGUGAUGGCUUGUUCCGAAAGGCGGGAAAACAUAAACAAAAGCAAGUAUUUACGCUAGCAAAACUACAUGGCAAUGAAAGCAG